GACGAACGCUGGCGGCGUGCUUAACGCAUGCAAGUCGAGCGGUAAGGCCCUUUCGGGGGUACACGAGCGGCGAACGGGUGAGUAACACGUGGGUGACCUGCCCUCAGCUCUGGGAUAAGCCUGGGAAACUGGGUCUAAUACCGGAUAUGACUUCACAUCGCAUGGUGUGUUGUGGAAAGUUUUUUCGGCUGGGGAUGGGCCCGCGGCCUAUCAGCUUGUUGGUGGGGUGAUGGCCACCAAGGCGACGACGGGUAGCCGGCCUGAGAGGGCGACCGGCCACACUGGGACUGAGACACGGCCCAGACUCCUACGGGAGGCAGCAGUGGGGAAUAUUGCGCAAUGGGCGGAAGCCUGACGCAGCGACGCCGCGUGGGGAUGACGGCCUCGG
rnacentral:rRNA from 1 species